GUGCAAGUGUGAUGUUCAGUGCAAAGCACGGCAGUAGCGAAAACGCCACAAAGAUCCAAGACUAUUUUUCAACUGAUACCUAGAAUCCUUUAAUUAGAUUCAGAGGCAGAGCGUUAAGAUUUGGCCAAAUCGGAACUGCAACUCAGAAAUAACUUAGGACAGUUAAUAGGUGAUUUUUUUAAAUGUAUAGUUAUAGCUAUCGCACAUCAUUUUUACAAAGUCGUGCAUUAACUAAUGGAGCAGAAGCACCACCUAUUAAGAUUCAAAUUCAGAAACAUAAUCUAAUACUACAAACUUUCCUUCGCAAUAUGCUUCAUUAUUUUACAUUCAAUGUUCGUUAUCAUAUGAAGCCAUGAAUCUAUAUAACUUGAAAGCAACUUAUCCAAUCACGAACACACUCACAAAACAAAUCCAACUAGUUUUUAUUCUUUUUUUAUUUCCCGACAGUCAGCUGAAAAAAAUAAAAGAAUCUCUAGUUCAGUUUUCCACAUAAUUAAAACAAGAAGAAACUCUCAAGCCGCCUUAACUUACACAGCGGGCCCCAUGCCUGGCGCUGGGAGGAAUGGCGAGGCUGUCCUGUCCCUAGGGCAGAGGGCUUGCGGGGCUGAGCACCUGAGCACAAGUACUUCGUGGUCAAGAGUGUUCCACAUUGCUGACAUUCAGCUCAGCCUCAGAAGCACCCUUGACAACUACCGAUGGCCACAGCCAAAUGGUUACCUGUAAAGUGGCCACUGCACCGUUUUCAGACAUGCCUGAACGAACUGCACACAGUGGGCCUGCAGAGCUGCGCCUUCCAGCCCCCUGCCUCGCCUGGCCGACCACUCCCGCUCUACACUUCGGAAGCAGGACAACACGAUUGCUGGACCCUGAAGACAUCUUAGCUGGUGACCUACAAACAUCUGCUUGCAGGAUCUUCUUGGAGCAAGCCUUAGACAUCCAGGAAGUAGCAGGAGCCCCAAGGUUCAGUUUCUCAAGAGCACCAAGAAAUGGCCAAUGCUUUAGUUAAGAAUGUGCACCAGCCUGCAGUUCUUCACUGAGGUAUUUUGUCACAGUGACAGAAAGCUGAGCAUCACAAACACAAGGAAGAAGGUCAUGGUAAAUGCAAGCAGAGACUGGAGUGAAGCAGCUAUAAGCCAUGAAUGCUGGGGAGCGUUGGAGCCACCAGAAGCUAUGAAGAGCCAAGGAAGGCUUACUUCUUCCUAGAGUUUUUACCUGGAGUAUAGCCCUACUGCUACCUUGAUUUCAGACUUUUAGCCACCAAAUAAGUGAUGGAAUAAAUUUCUGCUGUUUUAAACCAUUUAGUUUGUGGGAAUUUGUCAUAGCAGCUCCAGGAAAUGAAUAUAUGCAAAACCACCCAUUGAUUACCUAUUGUAUUUUAGGAUUAAUAAACAAGGCUG
rnacentral:lncRNA from 1 species